GAUGAUCUCAGAGGUCUUUUCUAAACCAGUUGACUGUGUAGUUCUGUAAUGCAGAAUAAAUGCCUCAAAUAGAAUAUAAGCAUCUCAAAGUCAGGUACCAAGAGGACGGUUCCAGAAUCUUUUCAGUUGUGCCCCGUGACAGGAUGAGGAGCAAUGGACAUAGACUAAAGUACAAGGAAUUUCACCUCAGCACGAGGAAGAGCUUUGCAUUGGGGGUGGAACAGGGAGGGUGUGGGGUCACCCUCCCUGAAGACAUUCCAGACCCACCUGGGCACGUUCCUGUGUCACUGCUCCAGGUGACCCUGCCUCGGCAGGGGGUUGGACAGUGAUGUCCAGAGCUCCCUUCCAACCCUGACAAUUCAUGAUUUUGUGAGGCAGCUGCCAGAAAAAGGAGAACCUCCUGCACCCGGGGCUGGAGGACCAAUGGCCACAGCCAUCCCUGCUCCAGCACCCACCCUGGGGGAGGCAAGCGCAUGACUGGGGGCAAAAGUGAUGGGGGAACAUGUUUGUUCUUAUGUUUUGUUCUUACGUUAAACAGAACAGAAAUAGAGUAUGGCGUGCAGAGAUCCUCCACAAGAGGCAGGAGGUGAAGCCAGGACAUCCUCCGUGCUCCCAGGCUUUGUGAGGGACUGGCACAGUGCAGCCAGCAAGGCAGAGGACUCCUUAACAGACAUUUCACAGCAACGAGGACAAGACAGUUGAUGUCAAGUGCUCUGAUGAUAACAUUUUGGAGAGAACACAUCACCUGAGCUUUUCUAAAACACCAUUAGGACUGUGACUGUGUGUACUGGUAACUUGCUGAGGCAGGUACUCAAAUAUUGAAAGGCCAAAAAACACACAGUCUCUCAGUCUGGAAAUCUUUCACUGUUGUACCUUGUGUAACUGGAUAAUAACGACUAAAAAAUCCUAUAGACUUACAGUGAAAAGGAAGCAAAUCAGUGUUGACAACAGUGUGCAAAAUCUGUUUUACCUCUCCCAAGAUGCAGCGUGUGGAAGUUGUGUUGCAGUAAUCCUCACUGGGUAAGCUUUGCAUGUGUGUCAUGCUGCUGCAAGUUUCUUAAAGAAAUACCAUCAGAACAUGUUUCUGAGAUGGAUUUAAAAAAAACCAGAUAUUUUUGUAUUUUCUUUAUGAUACAAAACAGAUUUAAGGGCAAUGCCAAAGGUUGGAUAGUAUCAAACUAAAUUUGUUUUUGGAGAUUAACAAAGAGACAUCUCUGUUAUACAGCUGCUUGUAGAGGAGGAGGUUAGGUUGUAAGGUGUAUCUUGAAUUCUCUAAUACAUUUGGAUGUGUUGCACUAAUUCUUUUGGCAUUUCCAGCAACUGUAGUUUGCAUUUACUGCAUCUGAUUUGGAACCCUAAGUUGGAAGCCAAAUUUCACGAGAAGGGAAGUCUUCCUCCAAGUCCCUCUCACACUGAAUUUGUUAUACAGAAGAGAAAGCAGAACUGCUGUGCACAAACUGAGUGUCUGGCUGAGCUAACAAACCCAGAGCUGCCCUGACUCCAUCAGUGUCAGCCACGUCCUGAUCCCAAGGUGAAAAGACAUGGCAGCAGAAGAUUGAAAUUCUUCUACAAGGAAUUUUUUGUGCCCUUGAGUGGGUCCUAUCUGAAAUACUAACUGAGGUACAGUCCUGGCUAGAGGCUGCAUCCCAUCUUGCUUGUUGUUCUACAGAGGAAUGAAGAAUACAUGCUUAGGCAGUGAUGCAAUUCAGUGCAUUAUCAAGUAAUGAUUUAUGGUUAAGACUUGAAGCUAAAUUCUAGCAAACAUUAAUAUUUUCAAUGCUGAAAUGGGAAAUGUCACAAUAUGAGAAAGCCAGUGUGCUAGAGAAGCACAUUAAUGAGAAGAUGAAAAGCCUUUGAAGAUCUGAGGGACAGUACCAGUGCAGAGUGAUAAGAUGAAAUUUUAAAUGAUGUUUGAGUGAA